GGUCAGGAUGAACGCUGGCGGCGUGCCUAAUACAUGCAAGUCGAACGAGGUAGCAAUACCGAGUGGCGAACGGGUGAGUAACACGUAGGUAACCUGCCCUUAAGCUCGGGAUACCCAGAGGAAACUUUGGCUAAUACCGGAUAACAACAGAGAAGGCAUCUUCUUUGCUUGAAAGGCCCCUUCAAGGGUCACUUAAGGAUGGACCUGCGGCGCAUUAGCUAGUUGGUGAGAUAACAGCCCACCAAGGCGAGGAUGCGUAGCCGAACUGAGAGGUUGAUCGGCCACAUUGGAACUGAGACACGGUCCAAACUCCUACGGGAGGCAGCAGUAAGGAGUUUUCGGCAAUGGGGGAAACCCUGACCGAGCAACGCCGCGUGAGCGAUGACGGCCCUAUUGGGUUGUAAAGCUCUGUUGUAAGCCAUGAAUGACAGCUUGAGGAAAUGCAAGUUGUUUGACGACAGCUUACCAGAAAGCCACGGCUAACUACGUGCCAGCCGCCGC
rnacentral:rRNA from 1 species